CCCCAGCGCCACAAGUGGCAAUCACAAUUACUGGGCCUAAAGCGUCCGUAGUCGGUUCGAUAAAUCUCUUGUGAAAUCAUUGAGCUUAACUUAAUGACGUGCAGGAGACACUGUCGAACUCGGGACCGGGAGGAGUCAGAGGUAUUCCGUGGGGAGCGGUAAAAUGCUAUAAUCCUCGGAGGACCACCUGUGGCGAAGGCGUCUGACUAGAACGGAUUCGACGAUGAGGGACGAAGGCUGGGGGA
rnacentral:rRNA from 1 species